AGCCUGGCGCGCGCUAAUUGCCUAUUGGCCUGUGCUGCCGGCUCGCAGCCCGGGUGGACCCGAGCCACGCCCCCUGGAGUGCGCCGGAAAGCCGGGCGCGCUAGAGCUCGCGGGAGGCCAUCAUGAGGAAGCCACGAGCAGCCGUGGGAAGUGGUCACAGGAAGCAGGCAGCCAGCCAGGAAGGGAGGCAGAAGCAUGCUAAGAACAACAGUCAGGCCAAGCCUUCUGCCUGUGAUGGGAUGAUUGCUGAGUGUCCUGGGGCCCCAGCAGGCCUGGCCAGGCAGCCGGAAGAGGUGGUAUUGCAGGCCUCUGUCUCCUCAUACCAUCUAUUCAGAGACGUAGCUGAAGUCACAGCCUUCCGAGGGAGCCUGCUAAGCUGGUACGACCAAGAGAAACGGGACCUACCAUGGAGAAGACGGGCAGAAGAUGAGAUGGACCUGGACAGGCGGGCAUAUGCUGUGUGGGUCUCAGAGGUCAUGCUGCAGCAGACCCAGGUUGCCACUGUGAUCAACUACUAUACCGGAUGGAUGCAGGUGACUCCAGGGGAGGAAGGGAAGGGUCAUGGGUCAGACCCCAG
rnacentral:lncRNA from 1 species